UACGGGGGGGCAAGCGUUGUUCGGAAUUACUGGGCGUAAAGGGUGCGUAGGCGGCUUUCUAAGUCGGAUGUGAAACUCUGGGCUCAACCCAGAGCCUGCAUCUGAAACUGGAAAGCUAGGGUUCUGGAGGGGAAAGCGGAAUUCCUGGUGUAGCGGUGAAAUGCGUAGAUAUCAGGAGGAACACCGGUGGCGAAGGCGGCUUCUGGACAGAUACCGACGCUGAGGAGCGAAAGCGUGGGAGCGAACAGG
rnacentral:rRNA from 1 species